rnacentral:lncRNA from 1 species
UUUAAAUAGCUUAUAAACACAGUCGAUUGUUUAAAGUCUAAUGACCAAACAUGCAGGUAUGAUUUAAAGUUAGACAAAUCUUCUUAUGAUUUCUAUAGCUUGACCAGUAAUCACAUGCUAUCAAUCUAUGCUUGACUCUAUUUUAAUUUCUGUCUUAUAGAUUAGUAGUUUCAUUUGGGAUGUUGAUCUUAGAACCAACCAAAUUGAAUAAUGAUUUGCAUAGGUGAUUAUAUCCUUAUCAAAUUGAAUAAUGAUUUGCAUAGGUGAUUAUAUCCUUUUCCAUAGUCUUAGUUUUAUAAAGGCCUCUAGUACAGAGUACUAAGACAAAUUUGGAUACUAUCAAUUACAUACUAUAUCAUGCUAUUUAUUGUCUUUCUAUGAAAGACAAAAUUUAUAAAUCAUUUAUAAAAGGUCAAAAUUAAUUUUCAACCACACGUUCCAAUAUACAUUUAUCCAUCACUAGUUUUUAUUUGAUUAUAAAUUAAACCGUUUAUAAAUUCUUCCCAAACCGAGGCGAUCUAAUCUGGAGUCACAUUUGGUUGUUUAUUUUCCAGCAUAUGUAACUGUUCAACCAUGCAG